rnacentral:rRNA from 1 species
UACGUAGGUGGCGAGCGUUGUCCGGAUUUACUGGGCGUAAAGGGAGCGUAGGCGGACUUUUAAGUGAGAUGUGAAAUACUCGGGCUCAACCUGAGUGCUGCAUUUCAAACUGGAAGUCUAGAGUGCAGGAGAGGAGAAUGGAAUUCCUAGUGUAGCGGUGAAAUGCGUAGAGAUUAGGAAGAACACCAGUGGCGAAGGCGAUUCUCUGGACUGUAACUGACGCUGAGGCUCGAAAGCGUGGGGAGCAAACAGG